AUUGAACGCUGGCGGCAUGCUUUACACAUGCAAGUCGAACGGUAACAGGCCUUCGGGUGCUGACGAGUGGCGAACGGGUGAGUAAUGCAUCGGAACGUGCCCAAUCGUGGGGGAUAACGUAGCGAAAGUUACGCUAAUACCGCAUAAGCCCUGAGGGGGAAAGUGGGGGACCGCAAGGCCUCACGCGAAUGGAGCGGCCGAUGUCAGAUUAGCUAGUUGGUGGGGUAAAGGCCCACCAAGGCGACGAUCUGUAGCGGGUCUGAGAGGAUGAUCCGCCACACUGGGACUGAGACACGGCCCAGACUCCUACGGGAGGCAGCAGUAGGGAAUCUUCCGCAAUGGACGAAAGUCUGACGGAGCAACGCCGCGUGAGUGAAGAAGGUUUUCGGAUCGUAAAACUACUGUUGUCAGAGAAGAACAAGUUGGAGAGUAACUGCUCCAGCCUUGACGGUAUCUGACCAGAAAGCCACGGCUAACUACGUGCCAGCAGCCGCGGUAAAGUAG
rnacentral:rRNA from 1 species